rnacentral:rRNA from 1 species
UACGUAGGGGGCAAGCGUUAAUCGGAAUUACUGGGCGUAAAGGGUGCGUAGGCGGUUGUUUAAGUCUGUCGUGAAAUCCCCGGGCUCAACCUGGGAAUGGCGAUGGAUACUGGGCAGCUAGAGUGUGUCAGAGGAUGGUGGAAUUCCCGGUGUAGCGGUGAAAUGCGUAGAGAUCGGGAGGAACAUCAGUGGCGAAGGCGGCCAUCUGGGACAACACUGACGCUGAAGCACGAAAGCGUGGGGAGCAAACAGG